rnacentral:tRNA from 1 species
GCCGCGGUUGGUGAAGUCGGUGCCGCCGGCGGUCUCGCCGUCGCGGACGGCGGAGGCGCGGUCGACGCGGAUCACGUCGGCGCCGAGGUC